rnacentral:rRNA from 1 species
AUUGAACGCUGGCGGCAUGCUUUAUACAUGCAAGUCGAACGGUAACAGGUUAAGCUGACGAGUGGCGAACGGGUGAGUAAUGCAUCGGAACGUGCCCGAUCGUGGGGGAUAACGCAGCGAAAGCUGCGCUAAUACCGCAUACGAUCUGAGGAUGGAAGCGGGGGACCGUAAGGCCUCGCGCGAUCGGAGCGGCCGAUGUCAGGUUAGGUGGUUGGUGGGGUAAAGGCUCACCAAGCCAACGAUCUGUAGCUGGUCUGAGAGGACGACCAGCCACACUGGGACUGAGACACGGCCCAGACUCCUACGGGAGGCAGCAGUGGGGAAUUUUGGACAAUGGGCGAAAGCCUGAUCCAGCAAUGCCGCGUGCAGGAAGAAGGCCUUCGGGUUGUAAACUGCUUUUGUACGGAGCGAAAAGGUCUCCUCUAAUACAGGGGGCUCAUGACGGUACCGUAAGAAUAAGCACCGGCUAACUACGUGCCAGCCGCCGCCGUAA